UACAGAGGGUGCGAGCGUUUGUCCGGAUUUAUUGGGCGUAAAGCGCGUGUAGGCUGGCAGGCCAAGUCGGUGGUGAAAGCGCCCGGCUCAACCUGGGCGAGGUCCAUGGAAACUGGUCAGCUGGAGGACGGUGAGAGGCGAGUGGAAUUCCCGGUGUAGUGGUGAAAUGCGUAGAGAUCGGGAGGAACACCUGUGGCGAAGGCGGACUCGGCUGGGCCGGUCCUGACGCUGAAACGCGAAGGCGUGGGGAGCGAACGGG
rnacentral:rRNA from 1 species